UCCUUGUUGCUGAGGAACGGCUUUGCUGCCCAGAGCCCUUGGUGACUUACAACUCCUCGAGGUGGACUGAUGGGCAGAGAAGGCUACUGAGACAGAGAAAAAACAUAAAACAAAACAGGGAUUUGUCAAGGCCCUUUGGUAUUUAACCACAAAAGAGAUAUAAACAGCCAAGGGCCUAGAUUCACUUUGAAGGCUCAGUAAGUGGGCCUUCAGCUAAGACAGGCUUCUGUCCAUCAAUCCAUCCUUCAUUUGCUGAGCAGGUAUUGUGCCAGGCACUUUUCUAGGUCCUAGAAUACAGCUCUGACCAGGACAGACCUGGCCCGGGCCCUCAGAGGGUGAGUGUUCUGGUAAAGGAGGCACAAUAAACAAGGAAAUAAAAAACAAGAUUGAAGAGGGUGAAACUGCUCUACAGGAAACAAACUGGGAAUUGAAAGAGCAAAGGGAAGAAAGGCCACAUUGGAUGGGGAGGUGAGGACGGCCUCUCUGAAGAGGUGAGCUUUGAGCUCAAGCUGAGCACUGAGAAGAUUCCAGCCCAGUAACAGCUAUCAGGAGAUCACGCCAGGUCAAGGACACAGCAGGUGCCAAGGCCUGGAGGCAGGACUGGGCUGGACAAGUCCAGGGAACAGAGAGGAUGCCAGGACUGAGGACGUAGGGAGAGCAGGUUGCAGGGAUGCAGAAAGCGGUGCGGGGUGUGGAUCAGGCAGAGCCUCCUGGGACAGGGUAAGCUCUUCUGGGGUUCACGGGAGCAGUGGGAGGUGAUUGGAGUUUAUAUGGUGGGGGUGCAGCACAGCUGGUGCACAUGUCUGGACAGCCACUGACUGGCUGCUGGGAGGGAAUGGAGGAUUAGGGCAAGAGUGGAAACCGUGGGUCCAGGCUGAAUCCAGACCUACAAGAUGCGAGACCUUGUGCAAAUGCGUCUUUCCUGAGCCUCAGGUCCUCGUCUGUGAAUGAGGGAAUCAUGAGCCAUCCUGAGGCUGAUCUGAGGAUGUAACAAGAAGGCGCCCAAGGCAGAGCCCAGCACACAGGGUAGAGGGAAUAAAAUGGGCCACCAUGAGGCAGCAGGCAGACAAAUUCAGACAAAUUCCAGGUUGGCUGAAGCAUUCAAAGCUAAAUCCAGAAUUCACGAACCUUAUUCCGCACCAACCAUCUGAUUGCUUCAAGAUUCUUUGAACAGCUGGCUGCCAGGGAUUCUGGGCAGACAGGAGGCCAAGAGCGGCAGCACCAGCAGCCACAGGAGGCCUCAAGGUGAAGGCACCAGCUGAGGAUGGUGGCAGAAAGGCAGAAGAAGCCAGGCUCUGGGCGAUAUCCUGCGGCCCCAGACUUCCCCUGGACCCUCUGCCCCUGGACCUGAGAAUCUGGAAUAAGGCAACGUCCCCCCGGAGAUGCCACCAUGCCUGGGCUUCUGUUGCUUUGAGCUGAGCACAGCCCUGGGUGAUGGAGAGAGACAGUAGUGGUCACCCUACCCAGCAACCACCUGCACAGGUAUACAUUCCAGGUCGGCUGAAGCACUCAAAGCUAAAUCCAGAAUUCACAAGCCUUCUUCCACACCAACCAUCCUAUUCCUUCAAGAUUCUUUGGACAUGUGGCUGGGAAUCACCGGGGACCCAUCCCCUUCCACCCAGGAAUCUGUCUGCCUCCUGCUGCCUUUCAUGGCACCCGGGCUAGGCCCAGACUUUGCUUCAAGAAUGAAGCUGGCACCCAUAGUAGGGAGAAGCCAGGCAGCAGGAGCAGGCACUUCCGAGCCUGCGAUGGCAGGAGGGCCUCCCUGGGUCCCCAAGAGUGCAGGGAUGCCCGAGUCUGCAGCCAGGGUUUGGGUGACUGCAGCUGUACCUGGAGGGGGCUGGGGGGCGGGUUGCAGGUGGUGAGGCUCCUGCCUGCUGCAUGGAGCAGGAGGCCCGGGUCUGCAGCGACAGUUUGGGCAGCUGCAGCUGCACCUGGAAAGGCAGGGCUCCUGCCUGCUCCCAGCCCCCAAAGAGCACAGGGAGGCUCAGAUCUGCAGCCAUGACUUGGGCUGGUGCAACCCCUCACAGGAGGGUGGGGCUCCUGCGCGCUCUGUGGAGUGGGAAGCCCAGGCCUGCAGCCGUGGUAUGAAUGGCUGCAGCGGCACCUGGGGAGCUCCUGCCCCAGCUUGGAAGGGGCAGGGCUCCCACUUGUCCCCAGCUCCUGUCAACUCCAUGGAGCGGUCAACCCCGGCUGCACCUCCCUGCUACAGCUGGUGUGAUGGCAGUGGCAGGCCAUCUGGAGAGGCUGCUGCCAUCAGUUGAGGCUGAAACUUCAUCGGCCCCUUGGGAAACCUCCAGCCUCCCAGAAACCAAGAGAACAUUUCUGCCUGCUGAGUUUCCCACCACGACCAUCCUCUGUGGGCCUUUCCCACCUCCACGUGGGGCCAUUUCCUUCAGCCUAAUUCACUGGGCUGUCAGGGAACUGCAGCUGGAGUUGGCUUUGCUCACUUCUGGCCAGGAGAACACAUUCUGGUCUGUUUUAACACCUAAAUGACACACGUAUGCCCUGCGUAAUGCAGAAAUGGAAAGUUCCUAUUUGCAGAGGGAAUCGUAGGCAUCUUUGUGAGCUUUUGUUCAAAGUAAACAAACCUCCAGCAGGAGCUCCUUGCUGGGAGGUCAGACUCUGUUGCUGCAGCUGCUUUGAGGGCCCCCAAGCAAGAAGGAAUUCUCCUAGCAGAUGACCUUUGAACUCAACAGCAACUCUGCCCUGGGUCUCCAGCCUGCUGGCCUAACCUGCAGAUUUUGGACUUACCGAGCCUCUACAAUCAUGUGAGCCAAUUCCUUAAAUUUCUCUCUCUCUCUCCACGUGCACACACACACACACACACGCAUGCAUAUAUAUAUACAUUUCCCUUUAGUUCUGUUUCUCUGAAGAACAUUGAUUAAUAAAUACACUCACUUUCAGUAUGGACAUAAUCACAUGUGCCCUGCAUAGGUUUUGGAGCUGAUGUCACAAGAACAAAAUUAUAUAUAUGUGCUUUGUUAGUAGUCAUAUUAAUCAUUAUUACUCUAACCUUGGAUUAAAUAUUAAUUUGAUAAUUAGUACUCUGAUCUCACAUUUUCCUGCCAGCUUUAUCAAUUAUUGACACAGGACUGGGUUCACAUCAGAGGACCCCAAAUCCUUCAGAGACAUCAGGGUUAAGGUCUCAAGAGGAAGCAGAGUUCACCCCCUAUGGUUCAAAUCAGAUAUGAAUGAAGGGACCCUUUGCAGAGGGGCAGUCAGGGCUAAAGAAUGAAUUGGGAAGUUGAGGCACACAGAGAUUAGCAGCAGUCAGAAGCUGUUACCA